UGCGUAGGCGGGUCUUUAAGUCAGGGGUGAAAUCCUGGAGCUCAACUCCAGAACUGCCUUCGAUACUGAAGAUCUUGAGUUCGGGAGAGGUAAGUGGAACUGCGAGUGUAGAGGUGAAAUUCGUAGAUAUUCGCAAGAACACCAGUGGCGAAGGCGGCUCACUGGCCCGAUACUGACGCUGAGGCACGAAAGCGUGGGAGCAAACA
rnacentral:rRNA from 1 species